rnacentral:rRNA from 1 species
CAGCCGCCACGGUAAUACGUAGGGGGCAAGCGUUGUCCGGAAUCAUUGGGCGUAAAGCGUGCGUAGGUGGUGGUUUAAGUCCGUUGUGAAAGCCCUGGGCUCAACCUGGGAAUUGCAGUGGAUACUGGGUCACUAGAGUGUGGUAGAGGAUAGUGGAAUUUCCGGUGUAGCAGUGAAAUGCGUAGAGAUCGGAAGGAACAUCUGUGGCGAAGGCGACUAUCUGGGACAACACUGACGCUGAGGCACGAAAGCGUGGGGAGCAAACAGGAUUAGAUACCCGCGUAGUCCCUGUCUCUUAUAC